CACAGCGUAGAGAGACAAAUGGCAAGCUGACGGUUAUAGGUAUUUAUGACCGUUCAGCAUGGUAUGUAUUAGCGUCUUAGAUUCAGCUGUGCUGGCAACAAUGUACGAAUUACCAAAUGCAUUAUGCAACUUUGAUAAUUUCUCUAUGUUGCGAUAUACAUUCUACAGUUUAUGUAUAUACUCUGCAUACAAUUUGUGUAUAAAUAUUGAAUGUACAGCAUACAGUGUCGAAGAUGCAAGGUGGAUUGUGUACGCACAUGUCGAAGGCAUUGCAGCAUUUAUUCUCAAACUGUAUUCUUCAUCAUCCAAGCGAACAUUUUGUGAGAAUUUUUAAGUGAUCUUCUAUAAACUUGUAUCUUCAAUUUUUUCAACUUUUCUUUUUCUUUUUUUUCUUUUCUCUUUUUUUUUUUUUUUUUUUUUUUUUUCUUUAAUUUGGUGCUGCUUAAUGUUCUAUGGUUUUUUUUCUUUUUCUUUUUUUCUUUUUUCUUUUUUUUUUUUUUUUUUUUUUUUUUUUUUUUUUUUUUUUUUUUUUUUUUUUUUUUCUUUUGUUACAAUUCAACAAUCGAUACUCAAACUACUCUUGCUUUUUAUCUGAAUAAUGCAAUAUGUAUGCUCAUUGCAAUUAGAUCAUUUUAUUUUCCAUAUCGCUACUUAUAUCUAGGAAUAUUACAACUAAUUUCAUUGUGAAAUGACACAGCUUUUGUUAAAUAUUAAACUGGACAUACAAUUAUGGACCAUAUAAUAAUUAUUCAUGUAAUUUGACUAAACGUAAUGCAAUAUAUAUAUAUAUACGUAUAUAUAUAAUAUUUGAUUAGAUGAAAAGGACAAAAUGUUUGACAUAAUUCAAUAUAUGGUUCUAUGUUUUAUACAUCUAAGUAGUAUAAAAUAUAAUGACGAAAAAGAAAUAAUCUAUGAAUGUCAUAAAAUUAUUUAUAAUUAAUAUGUAAGCAUUUAUGAAAUUAUCAUAAAUGUUAAUAUCUUGUAAGAGAAAAAGCAGCAAAUUGCAUCUUCAGAAACAAACAGUAUAAUAAUAUUAAUGCGUAGUAAAUUUAUUUUACAAAAUACAUUGUAUAUAGUGUAUUUAAUUUGAAAGUUAUGCAAAGGAAUAAAUUACACAUAAAGACAUGUCAUUCAACUUUGUAUGACUAUAUUUUAUUUCAGAGGAAACUCUUUGUGGUGGGAUUCUCUUCAUAAAUUAUUUUUCAGAUGCGGGAUUAAUAGAAUUUACGUAAAAGAAAAAAAAAUAAACUAUACAAAAAAAAAACAACAACAAAAAAACAAACAAAAAAAA